AAAUGUACUUUUCCCAUCUGAGGUCAGCCUGAAGCCUGUUUACCUCAUUACCAAGCUAGAGUCUUUCAGAACAUUGUAGUAGGCACAAUUUGUGAACAGUUAGAUCUCUAUCCUGACUGAAUUUACAAGACCAUGAUCGCAGCAAAUUCGAGGGCAGAGCUGAGUAACUCUGAAUAAAACAUCUUCCAAAUAAGCACAGCUACCAGGACUUCUUAGGAGGAACUGUUCACAAGAUUAUCAGACCCUUGGUGGGAAAACAGUGUUUUCCAGAUCUAACACAGUGACUGACAAAUCAUGGCUGCUCAGGAUGCUUGUUAAAUGAAUGAGUAAAUAAAUCCAUAGAACCAACCUGUCUGGGGAUGUGCUACUGGAGUUUCCUGAAGGAGCUGAUGCCUGUUUUAAAUCAUAAAGGACAAGUAGGGAUUUACCCAGAAAAUGGAGAUUCCAGCUAGACAGCACAAUAUAAAUAAGAGCUUAAAACAUGGCCUGAUGUUCAUGGAAAACUGUAAGAAAUAGAAUGUUGC